CCUACGGGUGGCAGCAGUGGGGAAUAUUGGGCAAUGGGCGCAAGCCUGACCCAGCAACGCCGCGUGAAGGAAGAAGGCUUUCGGGUUGUAAACUUCUUUUAAGAGGGAAGAGCAGAAGACUGUCUCUCUUGAAUAAGCCACGGCUAACUACGUGCCAGCCGCCGCGGUAAUACGUAGGUGGCAAGCGAUGUCCGGAUUUACUGGGUGUAAAGGGCGUGCAGCCGGGAAGACAAGUCAGAUGUGAAAGCCCGCGGCUCAACCGCGGAACUGAAUGUGAAACUGUUUGUCUUGAGUACCGGAGAGGUCAGCGGAAUUCCGGGUGUAGCGGGGAAAUGCGUAGAUAUAAGGAAGAACACCAGUGGCGAAGGCGGAUGACUGGACGGCAACUGACGGUGAGGCGCGAAAGCGUGGGGAGCAAACAGGAUUAGAUACCCCAGUAGUC
rnacentral:rRNA from 1 species